rnacentral:rRNA from 1 species
UGGGGAAUCUUGGACAAUGGGGGAAACCCUGAUCCAGCCAUGCCGCGUGAAUGAUGAAGGCCCUAGGGUUGUAAAAUUCUUUCAGCGGGGAAGAUAAUGACUGUACCCGCAGAAGAAGCCCCGGCUAACUCCGUGCCAGCAGCCGCGGUAAUACGGAGGGGGCUAGCGUUGUUCGGAAUUACUGGGCGUAAAGCGCGCGUAGGCGGACCAGCCAGUCAGAGGUGAAAGCCCAGGGCUCAACCCUGGAAUUGCCUUUGAUACUGUUGGUCUGGAGUCCGGGAGAGGUGUGUGGAAUUCCGAGUGUAGAGGUGAAAUUCGUAGAUAUUCGGAGGAACACCAGAGGCGAAGGCGGCACACUGGACCGGUACUGACGCUGAGGCGCGAAAGCGUGGGGAGCAAACA